GGGGGCGAAUCAGCUUCGACGGAGAAAAUCAAAGUUCUUUUCCUGCAUGCCGACCACGUUGCUUGAGUCGUAAAACCGGCGACACCUUAUAAAUGCCGAACCUAUGGCAUUGGCUGCCUAACUAGCGCAGUCACGUUUGCCGUGUAACACCUGCUAGCGCGGACAAACGCCAUCAGCAGGUUAGCCGAUCCGGUUUUUCUUUGGCCGGUGAGGCGAAACAAAUACAAAGGAUGGUCUUGAAUAAAACCGGUCUGCAAGGCGAGUUCAAGACUUACAUAAUGUGCAGACUAAGCAUGUAGAAGGAGGAACGGCGUUUCUUCGGACGCGGGUGCGAUACCCGCCGCCUCCACAA
rnacentral:tmRNA from 1 species